ensembl:lncRNA
UGAGUGUCUGCAGCUGUAGGGGGAGUUUCUCUGCCCCGCUCGCACCAUAUAUCUUUAACCUCUAAUGCUGCUGACCCUUCCCUCCAUCGCUUUCAUUUACUGUGCUCAGCGCCCUCGGGCUCCCCCCGCUCCUCGUGGGUCGGGGGCCGAACUCCCCCCGCGGCCCCCGUGCGGGUGGGGCCGGGGCGCUCCUCCUCUGCAGCGGAGAGGGAAAGGGAAAGCGAAAGGGAAAGAGCAGGCGAUGUCCCCGCAGUGGGGCCGGGGCAGGCGGCACACGCAGCCCGCAGCGGGGGGCAGCACAGCCAAAAGCCUUCUUGAGGAGGUCGGUAAACAUGGCAGUGACUGUCCCUGUCUGCGUGGCUUUUCUUCUGAGAUAAACAACACGGUACAAAAUAGCUGACGUUUCACGUGCUGCAGUUGCAGCAUCUUCCUCUGAAGGAGCACUGCGGUUAAUGAUGCACGCACGUGGUCAUACCCAGGAGAUGCACAGGGUGAGGUCCCACCAGGACACCCCUCACCAUGGGGAUGCAGCAGUUGAUUCUGGGGUCCCGUGGCAGCUCCACAUCCACAGUGACCAAAGGGCCCACAGGGACAGUGGCCCCGGAGGUAGCUGGUGACUGAAGACUGCUGGAUUGCUCCAUACCUGGAUGAGAUGUGUGAGGUUGCCGGGGAUGCUGGUGGCUGUGGGUCUCCUGAUGACCACAGCCAAGGCAGGCCAGGUUGGAUGGGGCCUUGGCAACCUGAGCUGGAUUUCAGCCUCCAGAUUUCAGCCCCCAAAAUGUGCCAAGCGUGAGCCUUCAGCGAGAGCUUCAUCCACGCAACCCAUGCUGGACUAACUCAUCCCAGUUCAACCGCUCCCUGCAGCAGGAGUUUUGCGUUCAUGGAAGCACCUGGUGUAUUAGAAGUUGGUUUUGGAAUGCACUCGCAGUGCCAACAGCCACAGUGACCGUCCUGCUGCCGGGCUGAGCAGUGGGGGGCUCUGCACUGGGGGAUGGAGCCUGAGCUGUGGCCUUGGGACCUGGCUGAGUUUCCCUGCUUCCAGCUGGGGGAUGGGGACAUCAGGAACAGGACGCAUCUAGGAACAGGAGCAGGUGCUGCCUUGCUUACCAUGGGGCUUUAAAGGCCAGGCUCACCCCAGCAAGGCAGUGGGUCCUCAGUUAGCUGCCCAGCUCCUUGUAAGGUCAUAUUUGUCAUCUCAAAAUACAGUUUGCUGUAGAACAGAGAAUAUUUAGAAGGGAUUUGAUAAGUAACAUCUGCUGCUGUACUGAAAUUUCAGUUCAAAGUGCUAAAAACUUUAAAAAGAAAGAGGUUUGGGUAAAAAUAAAAGGUCUCUGGAGAUGUCUCCUUGGCAGGAUCCUCCUCUCCUCCUUACACACAGCAGAUUUGUUCAUGUUUGUCAUUAUCCAUCAAACCAGAGUGCAGCAAAGGGCAGCUUUCAAGAGAUGAACCUGGAGGAGAUAAUAUUUCGCACCGCAUAAAAUGCACCUCGGGAAUUUUCGGUUCUUCUUCCCUGUUACAUUACAAGGGCCUUCAUAAAAAGUGUCACAGCUCACGAGCUAAAAAAGAAAAAGAAGAAAAGAGAAAAAAAAAAAAAAAAGCAGCAGCUUGUGGCUUUGGAUGCAUUCAGUGCGCGUUUGUGGUCGGCGUUUCCCAGGCUGCUCGGGGGUGAGCGCCAGGUCGGCCCUCGCACGGCGCUCUGCAGGCGCUGUUUCUGUAUGAGUGAUAGCAGGCACUGAACGGCAGCACUGCGGC